GCCACGGUGGUCUAGCAGUUAGAACGCUGGCCUUGUAAUCCUGGGGUCUCGGGUUCGAUUCCCGGCGGUGCCC
rfam:Zootermopsis nevadensis contig15005, whole genome shotgun sequence.